CCCCUGUUCCAUGCCUUCACAGGUUGUGAUACUGUGUCCUAUUUUAACGGGAAAGGAAAAAAAGUGCAAUAGAUGCAUGGAACGCAUUUCCCAAUGCCACAGAAGGGUUUCUGGCAGCAUAUGAGGGGAGUACUAGCGAGGCGUUUACAGUAAUCGAAAAGUUUGUCGUCAUUUUAUAUGACAGAGCCAGUUCAUUUACAACCGUAAACGAAGCCCGAAAGCACCUAUUCUCGAAAAAAGACCGCCAAUUGGAGAAUAUACCUCCGACGAAAGCUGCUCUAUACCAGCAUUUCCUGCGGGCAGUGUUCCAAGCAGUCCAUGUAUGGGGUCAGAUGUCACCGAAUCAAAAUCUUCCCUGUCCAUCUAACUGGGGAUGGAGAAAAGUCAGUGAAAGCUGGCAACCUACAUGGACAGACUUGCCCGUAGCUGCAGAUGCAUGCCUGGAAAUGAUCCGGUGCAGAUGCAAAAAGAGGUGCGGCGGCUCGAGGUGCCAGUGCUUUCAGCGGCAACUUAAGUGCACGGAGCUUUGCGAUUGUGGGGGACAAUGUAAAUAAUAAACAUUUUUAAGUAAAAUUCUA